UUCUGCUAUCUUGUAUGCUGCUUUUUACAGAUGUAAGCACAGUUGAUUGAUAUAUUUAUCAAUUGAUUUUAGUACAAAUAUAAAAUGGGGGACAGAGAGUGUCGUGACCUGGUGAGAAAACUUCAAAAAACUCCGAAAAAAUCAAAGAAAAUUGAGAAAGAUGAAAACAAAGAAAACCUCUCUGAAGACAUGUCUGAAACGAGCGAGUCUAUCCGUAAGACUCAGAAUGCGCACAGGGAGGGAAGCGCGCUAGGAGAAAGUACUCCAGGGAAGGGUGCGCGUAGAGAACUGAUCAAAGAUGAAGACUCUUUCUCUGAUCCUGUGUAUAGAGAUAUUUCAAGAAAAAAUGGAUUCUUAAAUAAACAAGAUUUAUCAACGCUUAAAAGAAUAUGCAAGGAUGAAAAUAUUGAUAGUUCGGGGAAAAAAGAUCUCGUCACUAAACGGCUAAAACAGUUUUAUAAGGUUCAGCUUUUAAGAGAGGCCGGACUUCUAGAGCCCUCGCCCAGAGGUUUCGAUUAUCUGGUUGUCAUCGAUUUUGAAGCAACAUGUGAGGAGAAGAACUCGAGUGAAUAUCCUCAUGAGAUAAUCGAGUUCCCAGCAGUAUUAGUCGAUGUUUUCAGGUGUAAGAUUGUGACCAGCUGGAGAAGAUAUGUCCGUCCUGUUCUGAAUCCAACCUUGUCAGAGUUCUGUACAUCACUUACUGGAAUUACACAGGACCAGGUGGACCGUGCUGACGAUUUCCCAACUGUCCUCAACAUGUUUUAUGAAUGGUUGAAAGAACAUAGGCUUGGGACAGAUUACACCUUUAGUUUGGUAACUGAUGGACCCUUUGAUAUUGGUAGAUUUUUACGAUUAAGCUGUUCACAUCAUUCUCUAGAGGUUCCCUGGUUUGCUACAAGAUGGAUAAAUCUGCGUAAAGCGUUCUCUAACUACUACAGACAAGGGGGGAACAAGACGAGAGAAAGAGCUCCGGGUUUACAGAAUAUGCUUGCUAAACUAGAUCUCACUUUUCAGGGUACACCGCAUUCAGGUUUGGAUGAUGCAACAAAUAUUGGCAGAGUAACUGAGCGUUUGCUUAGGGAUGGUGCAACUCUUAGAGUAAACGAAAGAUUGGAGCUAGGAGAGUUUAAACAGGAGAACAAGGAUAAGCGUCUACAACAGGUUGCUUCUGUUUCUAAAAAAGAAUCUGAAGAUUGGUUAAACAGAUGCAAAAUACGGAGAGAAGAAUACACACGCGGAAACCCGGUUUCAGCAUGUACAGAUAGUACAGAAUAAACUUUGUUCAGUAUUAUUCCUUUUUUACCGACAGCAAACAGUGGAGAAACCUUGCUACGUACAUAUACUCACUGCCCAGCAUUAUCAAGAAAAGAAAAGGGCAAAAAUCGAAUUAUUAAUGAAAAACGUAAUUAUAUUGAGUUAUGAAAUAAGAUCGACCCCUAAAAAUAAAAAACAGCCUUAUUACUAUUAAACAUCGUCCAGCAUAAUCACCAAAUAACUACGAACAAAUAUCCUACAAAAACUUGAAAAUUUAAGCUUUGAAAGUAGUUUUUGUAAUAUGUUUCUCCACACAAUUGAAAGUUGUCACAUUUAAAAUAUGUUAUUUUUUUGUUAUAACGGAUUUUAUGAAUAAUAAAUUUUAUAUCUGUUCUUAA
rnacentral:misc_RNA from 1 species